CAAAAUUAAUGUUUUAACUGUUUGUCCGUGGUUUUGCAUAAGAGUAGUUAAGAGCUCUAUGUAGACCACUUUAGUAUUCAUAUUAUAAUUUGUUAUGAACUGUAUCAUGUUUAGGUGCUGCAGGAAGUAGAUGAUUCCAGAAACCAUCUUGAAUUUAAGAAAGGCCAGGAAAGCAAGGAGGGAAAGAUAUCUUGGCUGUUAAGAGACAUCAAAAAAUUCGUACUCCGGGAAAAAAUAGACAAAAGGAAGGAUAUAUUGAUUCCAAAUAAUUUACUGUGUUGUGCCAAUAGUUUUUAAUGUACCUGAUCAGUAUGUUGGGAGCUCUUGAGUUUUUUCUUUUUCUUAGGCAUGAUUUUAGGGUAACUUUUUUGUAAUUUGUCAUUGUGCUUAGUGUAGGCUUUUGUAAAAUCAAUGUAGGUCAAGAUGAUGACGAGAAGAUGGUAGGUGACGAAUCACUAAAGACUAAUAGCAAGACAUCCAUCGAGAGUUCGUUCAUUAAAGAUAGUUGUUAGUGCCUACAUUCCUGUUCAGUUUCUUUAUAUAUAGACGAUGGACUAAUCGAUGACUUAUCUCAAGUCAGUGAAACUUCACCAUCUCCCGCCCCUCUACCUAAUGCAUGUCUGAGUACUAUUUGCACCUUCCACAAAUUCAGAUUUUGAAUGAGCAAGCAGAGACCAUAAACUGCUCUUGCACCAGAACUUAUUUUUACAUACCGUGGCGAGAAUAUGACGACCAUGAGCUCAUCAAAUUUCAUGGGUGUGAAAGCAAAGGGAUGAAUUAGCUUUGCUAAAUUCCGGGUUUUUCCUAACCUUGCAAGGUGUAUGCGAUGUGAAAUCCGUCUCUACAUGGCACACAUUGUCUAAAACAUCAAAGAAUGGCAGUGACCAUAUCCGGAAUGUAGCCACUUUGACCUACAAUAACGGGGAUAAAGUAUCUAGAGUCAUGGUGCGGUUCCUCUGUUCUCAUUUGUGACUAUCUGUAUAUUGUGUAUAAAUUUAUAUAAGUUUGA